rnacentral:rRNA from 1 species
AGCAGCCGCGGUAAUUCCAGCUCCAAUAGCGUAUAUUAAAGUUGUUGCAGUUAAAAAGCUCGUAGUUGAAUUUCGGGGUCAGUAGGCUGGUCGUGCCACAGGUAUGUACUGGUCUUACUGAUUCCUCCUUCCUGAUGAACCGUAAUGCCAUUAAUUUGGUGUUGCGGGGAAUCUGGACUGUUACUUUGAAAAAAUUAGAGUGUUUAAAGCAGGCUAACGCUUGAAUACAUUAGCAUGGAAUAAUGAAAUAGGACGAUCGAUCCUAUUUUGUUGGUUUCUAGGAUUGACGUAAUGAUUAAUAGGGAUAGUUGGGGGCAUUAGUAUUCAAUUGUCAGAGGUGAAAUUCUUGGAUUUAUUGAAGACUAACUACUGCGAAAGCAUUUGCCAAGGAUGUUUUCAUUAAUCAAGAACGAAAGUUAGGGGAUCGAAGACGAUCAGAUACCGUCGUAGUCUUAACCAUAAACUAUGCCGACUAGGGAUCGGAUGAUGUUAAUUUUUUAAUGUACUCAUUCGGCGUACC